rnacentral:rRNA from 1 species
GGGGGAAGAGGGGACAAUGGGCGAAAGCCUGAUCCAGCCAUGCCGCGGGGGUGAAGAAGGUCUUCGGAUGGUAAAGCACGGUAAGUUGGGAGGAAGGGCAGUAAGCGAAUACCUGGCUGUUUUGACGGGACCGACAGAAUAAGCACCGGCGAACUCUGUGCCAGCAGCCGCGGGAAUACAGAGGGUGCAAGCGUUAAUCGGAAUUACUGGGCGUAAAGCGCGCGUAGGUGGUUCGUUAAGUUGAAUGUGAAAGCCCCGGGCUCAACCUGGGAACUGCAUCCAAAACUGGCGAGCUAGAGUAGGGCAGAGGGUGGUGGAAUUUCCUGUGUAGCGGUGAAAUGCGUAGAUAUAGGAAGGAACACCAGUGGCGAAGGCGACCACCUGGGCUCAUACUGACACUGAGGUGCGAAAGCGUGGGGAGCAAACAGG